GGGCCCGUAGCUCAUUUGGUAGAGCGCUGCAUUCGCAUUGCAGAGGCAAGGAGUUCGAGCCUCCUCGGGUCCACCA
rnacentral:tRNA from 1 species